CAAUGCUGGAUCCUUAACCCACUGUGCCACAGCAGAUGUGACUUGGAUCCCAUGUUGUUGUAGCUGUGAUGUAGGCUGGUAGCUGCAGCUCCAUUUCAACCCAAGGCCCAGGGAACUUCCAGAUGCCAUAGGUUUGGCCAAAACAAAACAAAACCAAACCAACAAACCAAACAAAAAACAAAAUAAAACAAAAAACCCACUUCUUGGUAUUAUUGAUCUUUUCUAUUGUUUUUUAAAAAUCUCUAUCUUAUUAAUUUCCUCUCUGAUUUUAUUAUUUCCUUCCUUCUGCUGACUCUGGGAUUUAUUUGUUCUUCUUUUUCUAAUUCUUUUAGUAGUAGAUUAGGUUGUUUGAGAUUUUUCUUAUUUCUUGAGGAAGGCCUAUAUCACUAUGAACUUCCUUCUUAGAACUGCUUUUGCUAUAACCCAUAGAUAUUGUAAGGUUGUGUUUUUCAUUUUCCUUUGUCUCAAGGCAUUUUCUGUUUUCUUCUUUGAUUUCAUUGUUGACGCAUUGUUUUUUUUAGUAGCAUGUUUUUUCAGUCUCCAUGUGUUCUUUCUUUUCCUGUUUUUCUUUCCAUGGUUGAUUUCUAAUUUCACAUCAUUUGGGGCAGAAAAUGUGCACAAAAUAAUUUAUAUUCUUUUAAAUUUUAUUUGUUUUAUAUAUUUAGGUGACCCUGUAUUGGGUGCAUAUAUUUUAAUAAGUACAAUAUCCUUUUCUUGUAUUGAACCCUUUAUCAUUAUAUAAUGUCCAUCUUUGUCUUUCUUUAAGCCUUUAUUUUAAAGUCUAUUUUGUCAGAUACGAGUAUUGCUGCCCUUAUUUUCUUGUCAUUCCUAUUUACAUGAAAUGUCUUUUUCCAUCCCUUCAAUCUGUAAGUGUGUCUUUUUCCCUGAAGUAAAUUUCUCUUAGGUAGCCUAUUAUAGGUUCUUGUUUUAUAUCUAAUCUUCCACUCUAUAUCUUUUGAUUGGAACAUUAAGUCCACUGACAUUUAAAGUAAUUAUUGAUAGGUGUGUACUUACUGCCAUUUUAAAUCUUGUUUCCUAGUUGUUUUUGUAGUUCUUCUUUGUUCAUUUCUUCUUUUUUUUAUUUUCCUUUUGUGGUUACACUGGAUUUCAAGUAUGUUGACCCAUAACUGUACCUACUUGCUUUAAACUGAUUGUCAUACGUGUUCAAACACAUUUAAAAAAAUACAUUUUUUAAUCCCCUUCCCCUACAUUUUAUGAUUUUUGAUACUCUUUUACAUCUUUGUGAUUAUUAUUUUGCUGUUACUUUCAGUUAUAGUUGAUGUUAUAAAUUUUUUUAUCUUUUAAUCUAUGUGCUAGUUUAUGAAUCCUUUUAUAUAUUCACUUUUCCUAUUAUGAUUUUUCUCUUUCCUUUAGAUUCCUGCUUCUUUUCUAUUUAAAGAAGACCUUUCAAUAUUUAUUUUAGGGUAGGUUUAGUAUUGCUGAGUUUUUUUUUAGUUUUUGCUUGUCUGAGAAAUUCUUUGUCUCUUCUAUUCCAAAUGAUCUUGCUGGGUAGAGUAUCUUAGGUUGCAUAUUUUCCCCUUUCAAGAUUUUGAAUGUAUCAUGCCAGCCAUUCAUUUUUAUUUGGCUUAUAGACUGUUCAAACAGAGCUAGUAAAGGGAGAAAUGGUGAGAAUGAGUACUCUUUCUACAACAAAAUUAUAAACAGUGAAUCUUAAUUCCUUAAUAUGUUAUUUUGUGUAAAAUCAUAAGGCAUUUACACUUUUAAUAAAGCAUAAUCAAUCCACUGGGGCCCUCUUACUAUGACCAAUUGUAAGGGCAAUGAAUUUGGGCCUCAACCAAUGUGAAUUUAUUUUAAUUAGAGCAUCUAUACCUAUGGUAGGACUGGGCAGUUUCACUGAGUUUACCACUUCGCAGAGUUUUCAAGUCUAAUGGUGCUUCUGGUAAGGGUGAGAGAUAGUUGAACUCCACAGACUCAAUGUCCAGUGACACCAAAAACACUUAAGGUUUACCCCUGUUUAAAAUUUGAAGGUUUACCAAGCACUAAGAUGACCUGGAAUCCAGUAUCAAAGAGGGCUGUAAAAACUGCAAAUUAUGUGGAGGCCAGUGUAACUCCAAUGAAGCAUCUGAGAUGUGCCCACAGGGAAUGGUCAUGACAAUCAAGGACUGUCAGGUCCCUAAUGGGACAAAGGGCUUCCAAUGACAAAUGUCAGAAAAGGGAUUUCAUAUGCAUACGGGGUUCACUUGGGGGUGUUGGAGAGAUGGCCUUGAGUGAAGCAAUGGUUGUCAUGGUAGUUAGAAGAGCAGUAGCAAUAUUAGAUGUGGCAUUAGGAACAAAUAAUAAUUGAACGAUUUGUUCGAGUAAGGCCUGUCACUAGUAGACUUCCUAAAAUCAAAUUAUUAGAGAAUCCUAAAUCCCUGAGUCUUCUGUACCAAAUAUUUGAAACGGGGUCCUAAUGGGGGCCUGUUUGAGAGACCUCUAUUGUAUUGCUAUUAUCAUUGUAAUGAUCAUUUUACUGAGGCCACUCUUUGCUUGAGUUGGGUGCGCUGUGUCAUCCAGGGCAAAUUUAUAUGCAUUAACAGUUCUAAUAUGUCUACAGCCUAGUGGCCUGGCCUAUGAAAUACAAUAAUGAGGCACAAUAAAUGCAGGGGGAUCCUUGUAAGAACAGUGAGAGGAUGUCUAAAUCUAAAGGGACUUGUUCAGGGAUGGUUAGAGCAUCUCUUCCUUCAGACUAUUUGGCAUAAUAAUUGAUCUGUAAUAGGACCAAAGAGGACAAUGCCUAUUUUCCCAUAAUAAUUGGCAACUGUCCUCUGAAAUAGUCUGAUUACUGAGGACAUGCUUAUUAAGAAGAGUGGCAGUUGGAUUCUCCAGGCCAUCAACUGGUGGAGAGAGGAGGUCAAGGGUUAUGUCUACCUGCAAGGCAAGCAAAGGUUUAAGCUAGCUACUUGAAGAGCUAGGUCAGGGAUCUCAAUAGAUUUGACUUAAGGACCCUGAGAAACACUAGGCAGCUGUCUCAUUUUGAGGUAAUUGAGUUCUUUGUAUUAAAGAGAUAUGAUCAACAGGCUGCCCAUUGUAAGAUAAACAAGUACUAGGGAUGUAAUGUAGAACAUGCUGACUCUAACACUGCUGUAUGAACAUAUAUGAAAGGCGUUAAAAGAGUAAAUCUUAACAGCUCUCACAUAAGGAAUUUUUUCUUUUUCUUUUGUAUCUAUUGGAGCUAAUUGAUAUUAACUAAACUUCUUGUGCUAAUCACUUUACAAAAUAUUUAAGUCACAUCAUCAUGCUGUACACACUAAACUUAUACAGUGCUGUAUGUCAAUUAGGUCUCAAAAUUAGAAAAAAAUGAGAUUCAAGAAACCGUUUUAAAAGAUGGAAAGGGGUAUUCUAAUGCAAGGUAGUAGUGCUGUUGUGUAGCUUACUAAUUCAAUCCAAUCCUCACUUACUGAACACUAAUUACCAAAUAUCAGAGAAAUAUCAGUUUGCCCUGGCUGGCAUGAAUGGCCAAUGAAUGGUACAAAGGAGGAAGUUGCAAGAAAAAUAAAUUGGGAAAGGUGAUUGCUGAAGGAUACUAGGAUAAAUAAAACUUGGAAGACAGACUUGCCUGUAAGGUUAGGAGAAGAGGAAGGGGGAGGAGAGAACAAAAGAGAGAGAUUAAUUCCAUAAGAUUGCCAUGAGCAAAAGAAUAAUGAUUACAAAAGGGAGCCAGUGAGUCACGCUGCUUCUCACAGGAGCAGAGGAGCUAAAGAAGGGAGGGAGUGGGCGCUCUUAACCUUUCCCGUUGUACUUAACAGCUUCCUCUAAUGCCUCUUGUUGAGUUUGUCAUUUUUUCACAUUAACAUUUAGUCCUUUUUAAAAUUCUUGAGAUAAUCACCAUAAUUAUUCUGAGGCUACAAUCCACAUAAUUAAUAUAUCAGGACUGGUUGUAUGAAUUUUAAAGCAGAAUCCUGGUUAAAAAUUGAAGUUAUACUUUCUGAUUCUUUCAAGCUGGAGGUAAAUAUCUCCCACCUCUGAACUUCCAUGACAUUUAUCUGUUAUGCUUUGUAUUCUGACAUUUGUGUGAAGUUGAAUCACCUUUCACAGACUGUGAGUUCCUUGAGCAGAAAGACCAUGUCUGUCUCAUCUUUCAUCUCACUGCCUGACACAAUGCCUGGCACAUUGCAGAUGUCCCUAAGUAUUGUGUUGUGGAAUAAUGAUGCAAGAAUGAAUUACAAUUAGAUAAAUCAGUCUAGCCCUUGGCUCUUUGUUCUGGACAUUUCUUUAGUGAAUGGGGAAUGUCUGUCUGGAUGAAACCACUAACCUGGAAAUAUCAAGAAGGAAUAUUUGACCACAUUUUGGAGACAGGCAAUUUCUGGCUUUCUAUGAAGAACAAAAGACAAUUUUAGUCACAAGAACUGACGAUUCACCCUGCCAAGAACUCAUGGAGGUUUGCAGAGCUCAGACCUGAGUGGCUUUUUAAGACUAUCCCAUAGGAUUUGGGGAAAGUUCAUCAUUGGGACUUUGGUAUGUAUGAAGAGGGGAAGGGGAAAUGUCAUACAAGGCAGAUUCCUGUCUCCAGAGAACUUAAUAUUGUUGGAAAAAUAAGACUCACACAUUUUGAGCAAUAAGAGUAGACUUUAAGCCGGGAGCCAAAUUAUGAGGCCAAGAAGAGGGAGAAAUACCUGUGCACUGAGAGUCAAGAAGGAAGGCCUGAGAUUGGGCUUGGUGUGUGUUAGUGGGAAAAGAAUAAAAAUCACUGUCACAAGACCCUAAAGUCCCAGUUAUGUUGAUGAAUGACCUGUGUAACAUGGAUCUUAGCCUCAGUUUUCUCAUCUGCACAAAGGGGCUAAUAAUAACACAUCCUGUGCUUCCUAGCAAGGGUAAUUGAUAAACAAGUUCCUCCAAGUGAAUGCAUUGUGGAGGUGGGAAAAUGCUGAACAAGUGAGAGUGAAUAUGGGUAAACCUUGAAGGAUGGAUUUUUUUUCCCAUUAAGAUUG
rnacentral:lncRNA from 1 species